AAGCAAGAUGGAUUUGCCGGUAUCUGCAAUUGGAUUUGAAGGUUAUGAAAAGCGACUUGAGAUUUUCUUUUUCGAGUUAGGAAACUCUUAUGGCCCUGGAUGUGGCCUACGGUCGCUCUCCAAAGAUCAGUUGGAUGAAAUUCUGACACCUGCUGCAUGCACCAUAGUGUCUUCAUUGGCUAAUGAUGAAGUUGACUCUUAUGUCCUUUCAGAGUCUAGCCUCUUUGUCUACUCUUACAAGAUCAUAAUCAAAACUUGUGGCACCACAAAACUGCUGCUCUCGAUCCCGCCCAUUCUUAAGUCGGCUGACUCACUUGACCUGAAAGUGAAGUCUGUGAGGUACACUCGUGGUAGUUUCAUCUUUCCUGGGGCUCAACCAUACCCACAUCGUCACUUCUCCGAAGAAGUGGCCGUGCUUGACAGCUAUUUUGGUAAGCUUGGUGCAGGCAGCAGUGCAUAUGUGAUGGGUAGUGCUGAUAAACAACAGAACUGGCAUGUCUAUUCUGCUUCAGCUGAAUCUGCCGAUGCCAAUAAUGUGAAUCCAGUUUAUACACUGGAGAUGUGCAUGACUAACUUGGACAAGAAAAAGGCAUCCGUAUUUUUCAAGACUCAAUCUAGCACUGCUGCUGAGAUGACUGAACUUUCAGGCAUUCGGAAGAUUCUUCCAGAAUCAAACAUAUGCGAUUUUGAUUUUGAACCUUGUGGUUACUCAAUGAAUGCUGUUGAAGGCUCGGCAAUCUCCACGAUUCACAUAACACCCGAGGAUGGAUUCAGCUAUGCAAGUUUUGAAGCAGUGGGUUAUGAUUUCAGAGAGGUCAACUUAACUGCAAUGAUUGAGAGGGUGUUGUCCUGCUUCGGACCUGCUGAGUUUUCCGUGGCAUUACACUCUGACACUCCUGGGAAGGAACUUUAUACUGACUCGAGCCUGAACAUCAUCGGAUAUGUCUCUGGCGAAAAGACUACUGAAGUGCUUGGUGAGGGAGGAUCACUUACGUACCUCACAUUCAGCAGUGGUGGUAGCUGCGGCGGAUCCCCCAGAUCAAUCCUUAAUAACAGCUGUUGGAGUGAGAACGAGGAUGAGGAAAUGGAGAAGAUAUAUUAAUGAGAAAUAUGUCUAUUCUCUUUUUUAGUACGCAAUACUAUAGCUCUGGUAUAGAUAUCCAAGCAUGCAAAUAAUGUUUCUUUGUGGGUUCAUUACGUCUAGUACUAGUAUCAGUUUCUCGUAUUUUAAUUUAGUUCUGUGAUAUGUGUGGGAAUGAAAUAACUGUCUGCUGAGUCUAUGAAGCUUCUUAGCUUUAUAGCGUUUGUGGUAUUAUUAUUGAGUUGUCUGGUGUUGUGUAAUAAAACCUUUUGGGAGACUAUUAUAUGAAAUAUUGUUAUUGUCAAUAUAUUUGCACUCAUAUGUUCUGAUGUGUUUACUCUUUGAACAUUCACUUUCUUGAAAAAUCUUCAUUAGAAGGUACGCUCUUGAUACCAGUGUAACUAGUAAAACUCGUCGAUUGUAUUACUACUACUACUACCAUCUUAUUCUUUGGUUAUAUUGCUACAUGUUUUUCCGUUACUUCGAUUAUUGUAUUAGUUAUUGUUUAACUAUUUUCUUUUUCUUUUGGCAUAUCUUUUUCACUCCUAAUUAUUUUUUCUUGAAUUUGAUAUGCACCAUUUGUAUCAGUUGAGUAAUAACCACUUGGAAGGUUUUUUAUAUGACAAGCUUUUCUACUUAAAUUUUAUACUAGUCUAGUUUCUGGUCAUUGUUGUUUGUUCUAAUCGAUUACUAAUAACCAAUGAAGGUCUUCUAUUCGAUAAACUCUUCCUACUUAAAAUUUAUUCUAGUCUAGUAUAAUGAUGAGGCAUACCACGAUAUAGUAGUUGCAGUCUCUUUUCAAAAUUAUUGGUGUACCUCUGCAUUAAUAGUUGCAUAUGCCCUAGGGAGAAAAAAUGAGUUGAAAGAUCCUUCCAAAGGAGAAGUAGGUCUCACAAUAUUAUUAAGUUAAAAAAAAGAUGAAGUCGUUUAAACAACUGUGACAGUUGUUCGACAACUGAACUUUGAUCAAAUUGUUGAUAGAACUUCUAUAGUUGUUGGGACCAACCUUUUUAGUUGUUGGAGCGAAAAUGUUUAAAAAAAAAUGGAAAUUUUUUAUUAAAACUUGAAGGACCUCACUUAAUUGAGAAACUUAUUUGUCCCUCCGCAUUAUGAGCAAACGCUAAUUUGCUAUGUCUGAAAAAUUCUUGGAUUUUUUUUUUCCAGUUAAUUCAGCAAGAGGAUUUACACUUUAAAAUAAAUUAAGAAAUUCAAAGAAAAAGAUGUGCUAAUCUUCACUUGUCUAUUCUUCAUCUUCAUAUCCAAAAACUGAACUACCUCACCUCACACUGACCCAUCAUAGAGGAACUCAAUGUCCAACCAUAUUAUUGAAAAUUAUACUAGAACCUGAUGGGCUUUUAAGAUCAAAUCCACUAGGAAGUAGUGUCAUAAAGAUAAAUAGACCACAGAAUGAUAUAACCACGAGCUGAGUUGUAUGCAAAAUUCCAAUUUUUAGAAACAUGAAGCAUAAGCUUCAGUAGACAAAAUAAAUUAGUAUGUACUCACUCAACUACAACCAAAAUUGGAAACUACAUACAAGAACAAUGUUCAUUAUACUCGUCUCCCGCGUACUAUAAUAUGCCCUGUGCUGUGAGCUAAGCUGAUUCUCUUUAAGGAAGCAGAACUUGAGCUGAACAAAUCUAGACACCGGUUCUCUGAAAAUUUUGUGUAGCUACAACUCUGUUAUGGAGAUUUCUUUGUUUAGUAAGGUCGAAAUUUCCUUGCCGCCCUCAACUGCUGUAUCCGCUUCUUAUCCUGCUCAAAUUUGCUCUGCAACACCAUGAUCUCUGUGCACAAAUAAAAAAAAACAACAAUGAUAAGUUACGACCAGAAGACCGAGCAAUAACCAUAUUGAAAUGAGGAAUUCAUUGGCACUCACACCAAUGAGAAGUCAAGUAGAGUAACAUAGCAGCAUCAAGUCAUGGCGAGUAGGUGACUGAAUGGGUCGAGAAAAUUUAACUUAACUAGUCCAACGUAACAUAGUCAGAUCGGGUUUACAUUGAACUCAAAUUCUUUACAUGCCGUUAUGUUCAUAAAAGCAAAGUUGAAAAGGGAAUCUCUACUGACCCUUUGAUGGGACUAAGGAAACAAACUACAAGUAGAAUAACAGAAGAGGAAACAUUGGAUUUAAAACCAGCAAACACAGGUAACUUAAGUAGUCUAACUUUUAUACGAAUGAAAGAUGAGCUACAGUUCCACGAUAAAGGAAGAAGGACUAGAAGUUACGAGACGGAGGAGAAGUUCACAACCAUGACCAGACACUGCAUAUACACGUAACAAAGAGAGUGCUUGGACAACUCCACCUUGAAAAGAGAAGAUUUCGAGAACAAAGAUGUGUGGAGGUAACUCUUCUUCUCCCUCCUUGAAAUUAUUUUUCCAUAAAAAGGGGUGAAUUCUUACAAACUUAAACAAUUGAAGCUUCCUUUUUGAAGUUGUUUUCAAGAGAUCAAAUUUACAGUUGUUUCAACUUUCAAGGAUUAUCUGAGGCUCAUUUUGGUUAUCUACCAUGAAUGAUAGAAAAACUUGCUAAACUAAUUGUAUAACAAGCUACCAAAACACGGCUGCCUUUUCAAGCAUCCUAAUAUUGACUAAAUUAGCUAAUGACAAUUCCGUUCAAGCUUAGAAACCCCUUCAUCAGAUGUAAAUACCUUUUCAUUAUUUGAUUGAUCAGAUAAAUUUAAACUUUUGAGAUUUUGAAUUUACCUUUUAGAAAAUUUUGAACCGAGGAAAACAAAGUCCGUGGAUACAUAUGGAGGCAGAAAGUAUUGAAAAAGGCAAAGAUACAAUAAACUGACCAUUUCUCUUUGCUUCUCUUUUCUGAAACCGGUAGAAAUCUAACCCCACAUCUUUAUUCUUCUUUUUGGCCAUAUUGUCCAUAACUGCAGCCUGAGAAACAGAACCGACUGCAAUUCCAGUUUCAGAAUCUGUAGUCUUUUUCCUGCCUUUGUGAUGUACAACAACAGUCCAUCCAUCUUCUGCAGCAAGAGCUUCCUUUUCUUUCUUUUCCUGUAGGUACCAAAAUAGAAUAAUAUGAAACGGUAAUAACUGUACAUUCUUAACAUGUAUACGGUAUGCAACCACUACGAUGCAAGAACAUGACACAUCACUCUUUUCUUAUGUUAAAAAUAAUAAUUAAACAAAACAAUAGCGAAUCUAAGCUGUGUAUUCUCUUUAUCGGGUAAGUUUACAUGAUUCUUAAUCUUUGCGAUGUUGAAAAUCAAUAACUAUUUCAUCAGAUUUACGUCUAUUCUUUCUUUAUAUUUCUGAUUGCAAAAUUCAACAAAAAGAUUAAAAAAAAAUUUCAAUUGUGAUUCCCUCAGCUCAAUCAUACUAAUGAAAAAUAUUCAACUGCUCAAACUUUCUACUCUAAGAUAAAUUUUAAAAUUUAAAAAUUACAAUCCACAUAUUCUACUGUUGGACUCGUGCUGACACAGGCCUUGCACUUCUAAUUUAGUAAUAAAUAUAAAUCCCACAAGAGAUCAAAAAAAAAAAAAUAAAAAAAAAAAUGAAGUUGCUUGGAAACUGGUGGAAGAGUCCAAAUGAAACAAGUCUCCAUACAGCUGUAUCUACCGAUUCUUGCGUUGUCACCAUUCUUUAUUACUUACCACACGAAAUAUCCCAUGGUCUAAAAACAAUAAUAAAAGGAGAGUCACAAAUUAUAGAAAAUACACGUGUCAAAUUUUGGUUAUACACGUUUCCUUAGCCUUACAAUAAUUCUCGCCCCUAUAUAAAUAGGCUCAAUACCUCUGCAUGUAGUUAUGUGCUUCGCUAUCGAUAUAUUAACAUAUCAAUAAUAAUUCUCUCUUCCCAGAUAAUCUUUUGUUCUAAAUCAAUUUUAUUUUGGAUCUACCCUUUUUCAAUUUGCAUCGUCGAUUUACUUAACCAGUAAGUUUUUUUUUUCUUUCUUUAUGAUAUGAUAAUUGAAUUUUGUGCGUAUUUGAUAUGAUUUGAUUUUUUAAUUUUGUGUUUUAUAGGGUUGUGUUAAAGAAGCUUUUAUAAUUCAAUCAAAGGAGGUCUCUCUGCAUCGGCUUAUAUCACUAAUUUUUGUAAGUAAAGUAAAGAUUCUGUUGCUUUAUGUUAUUUUCGUGUAUCGUUUUGCUCUGUUGUUGCUGAAUUUGAUAAUGCUUGGUGUUUUUUUGAUUGAAAUUUUAAUUUUCUCCUUUUUUUUGCCCUUAUUUUGGUGGAAUAGUCCCUUGUUUUACAAUAAUUUUCUUGUAAUUGCGUAUAGAAUUGAUUUCUUGUUACUAACUUAGGUUUUCUUAUUUUUUCGAUGUGCUAUUUUGGUGUUUUCUUUUGAUGUUAUUAAAGCCCUUUUCUUUCGUUUUUUAAAAGCAAAAUAGUUAUGAAUGUUUAGAUUUGUCUUUGCAAAAUUAGUGGUUGGUUCGUCUUUUGAUGGAAAGUUAUCAAAUCUUUUGUGGGUGGGUGGAACAUACAUAAACUGCUUUAUUUGCUUUACAUAGUUGAUUUUUGAUACUCCUCUCCAUUUCGCUAAGAACGACCUAAUUUUAUUGAUUUGGCACGGAGAUUAAGAAAUUAAAGAAAUUUUUGAACGUUAAGAACGACCUAAUUUUAUUGAUUUGGCACGGAGAUUAAGAAAUUAAAGAAAUUUUUGAACUUGUCGUCCUAAAUUAAAAUUAUGUCAAAUUUUCAUUAAAGUAUUCCUAAAAAGGAAAGGGGUCCAUUUCUUAUGGAAAUGGAUUAAAAAGGAAAGUAGAUCAUUCUUUUUUUAAAACGGAGCGAGUAUGUUUUAUUUGAACCGAGUCUUUUGUAGCCACCCCUAAAGGCACAACUUGUUUGAUAAUACUGGGCAUAUUGUUGAAAUUAUCGAACCUUUAGUAGAUGCUACUGUUUAAAUUUUUUUCUUUUUGGAAAAAAUAAAGACAUAUUUUUGUUAGUUAUAGAUAUAGAUUUAUUAUACAGUAUUUCUUUUCUUUAUGUUUUUUCUUAUGGGUAUUGUUGUUAUGAUUUACCAUCUGAAAUGCUAUUACCAUCUUUGGAUGGGAUUAUUGUAAUAAGCUUCAAAGAGGCUAUCCUUCUACCAUGGGUUGAUAGAAUUAGACCAGAUGUUAGGCAGCUGUUGUCUUCUUAGUAUAGAAAUAGCCAACUUACACACCAUAACAACAAUUAGUUGUUUGUAAGCCACAUAAAUCAGUUUCCUCUGUUUGAGGAGGAGUUAUUUGUAUUCAAUCGUAGUUCUUGAUCUAUUUUCUUGUUGUCUCCAUAAAUCUAUCAAAGGCCAAACUUUUCUUUUUUUUUUUCUAAUCUAUCAAAGGCCAAACUUUUCAUAUUUUAUUUCUGACCAUCUUCUUUCUUUUAAUGCCCUAAGCAGGUAGGAAUCGAUGAACUAAUGGAGUCUAAAGGUGGGAAGAAGAAGUCUAGUAGUAGUUCCUUAUGUUACGAAGCUCCCCUAGGUUACACUAUUGAAGACGUUCGACCAAACGGAGGAAUCAAGAAAUUCAGAUCAGCUGCUUACUCCAACGUGAGUUCAUUUAUCCUUUACCUUAUGUAUCUUAUUAGUUUGCAUCUUCGUGCAUACAUGCUGACUGCUUGCGUUUCUCUAUCUUUUUCAUAUGCAGUGCACUCGCAAGCCAUCCUGAGAUUUCCCGUGAUCUAGAAUAAACCACCAGAGGUGGUUCUAAGUAGUUUUAGAAUUCUGUUUUUCUCAGCUUUUUUUCUUCAUCCCUCAUCCUCGUUACACGCUCCAAAAUUUAGUCCUUUCCGAACACACACUUUCAAGCAAGAUGGAUUUGCCGGUAUCUGCAAUUGGAUUUGAAGGUUAUGAAAAGCGACUUGAGAUUUUCUUUUUCGAGUUAGGAAACUCUUAUGGCCCUGGAUGUGGCCUACGGUCGCUCUCCAAAGAUCAGUUGGAUGAAAUUCUGACACCUGCUGCAUGCACCAUAGUGUCUUCAUUGGCUAAUGAUGAAGUUGACUCUUAUGUCCUUUCAGAGUCUAGCCUCUUUGUCUACUCUUACAAGAUCAUAAUCAAAACUUGUGGCACCACAAAACUGCUGCUCUCGAUCCCGCCCAUUCUUAAGUCGGCUGACUCACUUGACCUGAAAGUGAAGUCUGUGAGGUACACUCGUGGUAGUUUCAUCUUUCCUGGGGCUCAACCAUACCCACAUCGUCACUUCUCCGAAGAAGUGGCCGUGCUUGACAGCUAUUUUGGUAAGCUUGGUGCAGGCAGCAGUGCAUAUGUGAUGGGUAGUGCUGAUAAACAACAGAACUGGCAUGUCUAUUCUGCUUCAGCUGAAUCUGCCGAUGCCAAUAAUGUGAAUCCAGUUUAUACACUGGAGAUGUGCAUGACUAACUUGGACAAGAAAAAGGCAUCCGUAUUUUUCAAGACUCAAUCUAGCACUGCUGCUGAGAUGACUGAACUUUCAGGCAUUCGGAAGAUUCUUCCAGAAUCAAACAUAUGCGAUUUUGAUUUUGAACCUUGUGGUUACUCAAUGAAUGCUGUUGAAGGCUCGGCAAUCUCCACGAUUCACAUAACACCCGAGGAUGGAUUCAGCUAUGCAAGUUUUGAAGCAGUGGGUUAUGAUUUCAGAGAGGUCAACUUAACUGCAAUGAUUGAGAGGGUGUUGUCCUGCUUCGGAC
rnacentral:lncRNA from 1 species